rnacentral:rRNA from 1 species
AUACGGAAGGUCCGGGCGUUAUCCGGAUUUAUUGGGUUUAAAGGGAGCGCAGGCGGAGAUGCAAGCGUGACGUCAAAUUUCGGGGCUCAACCCCGUCUCGCGUCGCGAACUGCGUCCCUUGGUUGCGGGAAGGGGAGGCGGAACUCGUGGUGUAGCGGUGAAAUGCAUAGAUAUCACGAAGAACUCCGAUCGCGAAGGCAGCCUUCCGGCCCGUCAACGACGCUCAUGCUCGAAGGCGCGGGUAUCAAACAGGAUUAGAUACCCUGGUAGUCCGCACAGUAAACGAUGGACACCCGCGGUUUGGCCUGUAUGGCUGAGCCGCCAAGCGAAAGCGUUAAGUGUCCCACCUGGGGAGUACGCCGGCAACGGUGAAACUCAAAUGAAUUGACGGGG